CACGUAGGGUGCGAGCGUUGUCCGGAAUUACUGGGCGUAAAGCGCGUGUAGGUGGAUUGGUGUGUCAGAUGUGAAAUCCCUGGGCUCAACCCAGGAACUGCACCUGAAACUACCAGUCUUGAGUGGUGGAGAGGGAAGUGGAAUUCCUGGUGUAGAGGUGAAAUUCGUAGAUAUCAGGAGGAACACCAGUGGCGAAGGCGGCUUCCUGGACACCAACUGACGCUGAGACGCGAAAGCGUGGGGAGCAAACAGG
rnacentral:rRNA from 1 species